UCGCGCCGCGCCGCCCGGGGCCGCCCGCACAUCCUGGAGCUGACUGGUGCCCCAGAGCGCGGCGAGAACGCGCUUCUUCCGGGCAGCCCCGCCGCACCAGCCUCCGGCCUCCCCCGCGCCCCCGCGCCCGCCUCGCGGCCGGCCCGGGCCCCUUCCGCACCCCCGGCCCGCGCUUACCUGCAGCCUGGCACAGCCACAGACACUUGCCGUGGGUUCCCCGCGCUCACUGCACGCAGGCCGGGGACGGGAUGGACGCGGGGCGCGGGGGCACGCCAAACCUAAAACACCUGCACGAGGAAAAAUAUCCCACCAGAUGCCAAGAGCACCCUCCCCUUGCUUCUCUGAAAACACUGGACACAGUAAAUGAACAAGAAAUAGAUCUAAUCCCUGAUGACACAGAGAUACAAGAUUGAAUCGAGCCCUUGCUAUGGAUAUUUCUUGUUGACCAUUUUGGUUGUGCUGGGCCAGGGAAGUCCCUUGGUGGAGCGAAUUUCUGAGGAGGAAGAGAAGAACACGGUGUCCUCAGGAACUGCCCCCCGGGACUUCUCUGUCACAUCUGAUCUCUGAAGAGAGAACCUGGGCUAGCAGCUCCCUUUCAGGAGGGAGGGUUGAAUCAAAAAAGUUCUGAACAUCUUCCAAGAUGAGGAAACUGAGGCCCAGAGAGGCAGAGCCUUGACAUAUAUUUAGCCUGAUAACCACUGAGAAAGGGAGAGACUGAGCCUAUACUCAAUUCAUUACAAAAGCCAUAAUCCCAGUAACGAGGAUUUCUUCUUGUAACAAAGAAGACAGUAAAAUCAAAGGGGAAAUAUUUAAAGUGGAAUGAAAGGAAUUGGCACUAGAAAAGACGAUGUGGUGACUGGAGAAAAACAGGAAAAGAUUUUAGAAGUUCUCCAUUGUGGGGGGACUCUACAAUCACUGGCUUUGUCUCUUAUCCAGUUUCCUUCCCUAUUGUACUGACCCUGUGCUUCCUGGAUGUCUGCUCGAAACCAGCAGAAAGAGGAAAGGUUUCCACAUGCUAAUAUGUAAAUCCAAGCAGCCCGUGUCUGCACGGAGCAACCAGUGACUCAGUAAUGCUCAAAAGCAAGGUCAGAGGCAAAGCAAACCUGCCUUCCCCCAGAUGCUUGGUGACCGUGUCCUAAUUAUCCACCCUGAAAGUUAGUGCCCGAGGGCAAGUAUGCAGCAGCGAGCGGCCGGCACAGAAAUACCUCAGUUCGUGCAGCGGAAAAGACAGGGUCAGAAGUUCUAAAUCUUGGACACCACUCUACCAGCAACGAGCUCUGACUUUGGACAAGUUCUUCAUCCUCACCCUUUAUAGAAUGAAGACGUUGGACAAGACUAAGCUCCUUAUCCAAUGAAGCUCCAAAGCACCUUAAUUGAAUUACCUUUUCCCCCAAACCCUCACUUCCCUUGCCCAUCUUUCCCCCCCAAAUCUACCUAAGCACAGCUCUAACCCUCAAUCAACCCAACUCUUCUAAUCUUUGUGUCGCUGCCCCCAAGCAGCUGAGAAGCACGGGAGAAAGUGUCGCAACUGGGAAGGUGGGUGCCACCCCAGAUCCAGAGCGAGCAGCCUCCCCCUUCAUGCAGCAAAGGUCCUCCCUCAGUUUAGAGAGAAUAGAGAACCCCUCGGGUCCCUGCCUUCUGCCUGCUCUGCAGACUCACUGCCGCCACAAGUGAUCUCCUCUUCCCAUCUCAGUAGAAGAGGGAUCUUUCCCUGGAUGAUGCUCCACUGAUCAGCAUUUCCAUGAGAUAUAACUUUCUUCCAUUUGACUGAGGAUUUCUUCAGCAUAAAAUGCUUAUACAAUCUAUUAUUUUUUAAAAGCCCUCCCUUGUGUGUUCUGAGGGCCGUUUGCUUUCUUGAGUUAAGCUCAAGAAAGGGUGGUCUGUGACAAUCAUGCUCACUUUCUUUUUUUUUUUUUUCCGGUACGCGGGCCUCUCACUGUUGUGGCCUCUCCCAUUGCGGAGCACAGGCUCCGGA